rnacentral:rRNA from 1 species
GCUACGGUGAGCAGCAGUGAGGAAUAUUGGUCAAUGGGCGCGAGCCUGAACCAGCCAAGUAGCGUGAAGGAUGACUGCCCUACGGGUUGUAAACUUCUUUUAUAAAGGAAUAAAGUGAGGCACGUGUGCCUUUUUGUAUGGACUUUAUGAAUAAGGAUCGGCUAACUCCGUGCCAGCAGCCGCGGUAAUACGGAGGAUCCGAGCGUUAUUCGGAUUUAUUGGGGUUAAAGGGAGCGUAGAUGGGUUGGUAAGUCAGUUGUGAAAGUUUGCGGCUCAACCGUAAAAUUGCAAUUGAUACUGGCAGCCGUGAGCACAGUUGAGGUAGGCGGAAUUCGUGGUGUAGCUGUGAAAUGCUUAGAUAUCACGAAGAACUCCGAUUGCGAAGGCAGCCUACUAAACUGCCACUGACAUUGAUACUCGAAAGUGUGGGUAUCAAACAGGAUUAGAUACCCCGGUAGUC